AGUGAACGCUGGCGGUAGGCCUAACACAUGCAAGUCGAACGGCAGCACAGUAAGAGCUUGCUCUUACGGGUGGCGAGUGGCGGACGGGUGAGGAAUACAUCGGAAUCUACUUUUUCGUGGGGGAUAACGUAGGGAAACUUACGCUAAUACCGCAUACGACCUACGGGUUAAAGCAGGGGAUCUUCGGACCUUGCGCGAUUGAAUGAGCCGAUGUCGGAUUAGCUAGUUGGCGGGGUAAAGGCCCACCAAGGCGACGAUCCGUAGCUGGUCUGAGAGGAUGAUCAGCCACACUGGAACUGAGACACGGUCCAGACUCCUACGGGAGGCAGCAGUGGGGAAUAUUGGACAAUGGGCGCAGGCCUGAUCCAGCCAUACCGCGUGGGUGAAGAAGGCCUUCGGGUUGUAAAGCCCUUUUGUUGGGAAAGAAAAGCAGCAGGUUAAUACCCCGCUGUUCUGACGGUACCCAAAGAAUAAGCACCGGCUAACUUCGUG
rnacentral:rRNA from 1 species